AUCUGGUACACUUGCCAGGGACUUAACAUAUAUUACAGCUAGUAGUUAUUCUUUUAUUUUUCUUUUAAAUCAACCAAUAAAACGUCAAUUUAAACUGGCUUUGACGUCAAUAGUAAUUAUUUUAAGUAGACAUUCAUUCAUAAAAUAUCUCCUAUGAACUCCAUUUUUUUAAUUUUUUUUUUGUUUUCUAUUAUCUCCUUCAGCUAGUAGUUAUUCUUUUAUUUUUCAUUCAAAUCAACCCAUAUAACGUCAUUUUAUACUAUCUACGAUGUUUUAUUAUUUAGUUACUUUUUUAUUAUUUUUUCUUUUCCUUUCCAAACAACUAUAUAAUGUCGAAUUCAUCUAUGCAUUCGACGUCUACUGAGUUGUGUUUUA
rnacentral:lncRNA from 1 species